ensembl:lncRNA
UCCCUCCCUCCCUCCUCCUCCUCAUGUGCCCUGGACACAUGGAGUUAACUUAAUGGGUUUUGUUAUUCUUUUUUGGAGGGUCACUUGAAGAGCUCUGCGGGUGAUGUCUUAGUGAAGUGGUUUGCUUUCACGUACGUCGAGAUAUCCGGAUAGCGGUGUUUUUUUUUCUGCGCCUCCUCUCACUGCGGUAUGCUAGCAACCUCCUCCUUAGCGCCAGAGGAGAAAUACAUGGGCCUAAAUCAUGUGUGUGUGAAGGGGUGUGUAUUUGUGUGUGUGUAGGGGUCUGUGUCUUUGUGUUUGUGUGUGUGAAGGGGUGUGUGUUUGUGUGUGAGUAGGGGUCUGUGUUUGUGUGUGUGUGGGGGUCUGUGUUUGUGUGUGUGUAGGGGUCUGUGUUUGUGUGUGUGUCUGGGUCUGUGUUUGUGUGUGUUUGUAGGGGUCUGUGUUUGUGUGAGUGUGUUUGUGUGAGUGUGUUUGUGUGCAUUUCAAUGUGUGUCUGUGUGUGUUGAACGUGGAUAUAAAGCAUGGCAAAGCAAAGAAGCAAACAAAGGACUCUGGGGGGGGGGGGGUAGGUGGGGUUCCACUCUGAAGAUCUCAGCUUCUGGCUCUCCUGGCCCGUAGAACCCAUGGAGGGGUAGAGUACAGACAUGAGGACACGAGGUCCCGGUAAUCCUCUUAUUAAAGAAAAACAACAGGUGUACACGAUCGCUGUCGGCCCCCGUGACCUCACUUAAACCAACCUCGCCGGGCCCCGGUACCCCCAAACCAAAACAUAGCGCCUUACCCCUUCAUCUCUGGAAGAUCACACACUGGUUGCACGGAGAGCAGGGG